rnacentral:rRNA from 1 species
AUUGAACGCUGGCGGCAUGCUUUACACAUGCAAGUCGAACGGCAGCGCGGGCUUCGGCCUGGCGGCGAGUGGCGAACGGGUGAGUAAUGCAUCGGAACGUGCCCAGUAGUGGGGGAUAGCCCGGCGAAAGCCGGAUUAAUACCGCAUACGACCUGAGGGUGAAAGCGGGGGACCGAAAGGCCUCGCGCUAUUGGAGCGGCCGAUGUCGGAUUAGCUAGUUGGUGGGGUAAAGGCUUACCAAGGCGACGAUCCGUAGCUGGUCUGAGAGUACAACCAGCCACAAGGGGAAUGGGAAACGGCCCAGACCCCUAGGGGAGGCAGGAGGGGGGAAUUUGGGAAAAGGGGGGCAACCCUGACCCAGCCAUGCCGGGUGGGGGAAGAAGGCCUUGGGGUUGUAAACCGCUUUUGUUGGGGAAAAAAUCCUCGGGGCUAAUACCCCGGGGGGAGGACGGUACCGGAAGAAUAAGCACCGGCUAACUACGU